GCUGGGUGUGGUGGCGCACACCUGUAAUCCCAGCUACUCAGGAGGCUGAGGCAAGAGUAUCACUUCAGCUCAGGGGGCAGAGGUUGCAGUGAGCUGAGAUCACACCACUGCACUCCAGCCUGGGCAACAGAGUGAGACUCUGUCUCAA
ensembl:misc_RNA Metazoa_SRP Metazoan signal recognition particle RNA